rnacentral:rRNA from 1 species
GACGUAGGGAGCGAGCGUUGUCCGGAUUCAUUGGGCGUAAAGAGCGCGCAGGCGGCUUGGUAAGUCGGAUAUGAAAACCCGGAGCUCAACUCCGGGCGUGCAUCCGAAACUGCCCGGCUAGAGGUAGGUAGGGGAGAUCGGAAUUCCUGGUGUAGCGGUGGAAUGCGCAGAUAUCAGGAGGAACACCGGUGGCGAAGGCGGAUCUCUGGGCCUUACCUGACGCUCAGGCGCGAAAGCUAGGGGAGCAAACAGG